AACCAAAGGGGGCGAGCGUAAGCAGCUCUCACCGAAGGAGGAGCCUGCGUCCGAUUAGCUAGUUGGUGGGGUAAUGGCCUACCAAGGCGACGAUCGGUAGCCGGCCUGAGAGGGCGAUCGGCCACACUGGAACUGAGACACGGUCCAGACUCCUACGGGAGGCAGCAGUGGGGAAUAUUGCGCAAUGGGCGAAAGCCUGACGCAGCGACGCCGCGUGGGUGAUGAAGGCCUUCGGGUCGUAAAGCCCUGUCUGGUGGAACGAAACGCCUGGCGGCCAAUACCCGCUGGGUUUGACGGUACCACCGAAGGAAGCCCCGGCUAACUACGUGCCAGCAGCCGCGGUAAGACGUAGGGGGCGAGCGUUGUUCGGAUUUACUGGGCGUAAAGCGCGCGUAGGCGGCCAGAUAAGUCGGGUGUGAAAGCCCUCGGCUCAACCGAGGUUCCGCAUCCGAUACUGCUUGGCUGGAGUCUAGGAGAGGAGAGCGGAAUUCCCAGUGUAGCGGUGAAAUGCGUAGAUAUUGGGAGGAACACCCGUGGCGAAGGCGGCUCUCUGGACUAGUACUGACGCUGAGGCGCGAAAGCUAGGGGAGCGAACGGGAUUAGAUACCCCGGUAGUCCUAGCCGUAAACGAUGGGCACUAGGUGUGGGAGGUAUUGACCCCUUCCGCGCCGAAGCUAACGCAUUAAGUGCCCCGCCUGGGGAGUACGGCCGCAAGGCUAAAACUCAAAGGAAUUGACGGGGGCCCGCACAAGCGGUGGAGCAUGUGGUUCAAUUCGACGCAACGCGAAGAACCUUACCAGGGCUUGACAUCCCACGAACCUGCCUGAAAGGGCGGGGUGCCCGCAAGGGAGCGUGGAGA
rnacentral:rRNA from 1 species